GCUGUGAUACGGAACACCUGUGCUGCCCCCCGCCCUGGGAGGGUCUUUCCUGCAGACCUCAAGGUGCUUGCCAUCUGGGGCACCUCCUGUUAUGGCUGAAUUGUGACCCCCAAAAGAAGCUGUCUUGGAGCCCUAACCCCCAGUACCUCCGAAUGGGACAGUUUUUGAAAUUCAGGCCUUUAAAGAGGCGACUAAGGUUAAACAGAGACAUUGGGUGGGCCCUGAUCCAAUGUGACCGGUGUCCAUUAUUAGAAAGGGGAUGUGAACGCCCACGCAGGGAGGGAGAACGCCACGUGGAUGUGAAGACCACUCCCCUGCCCGGGAGGGAGGCCGGGAGCAGCUCCUUUCCCCGCAGGCUCCGAGGGCCGGCCUUGCGGACACCAUGAUCCCUGAUUUCCGGUCCUCAGCAGGACCUGGUGCUUCCGGAAGCUUCUUCAGUCCAUGAAACAUCGCACCCCGGGAGGCUCCAAAACACAAAGCAUGAGAAAUGCUGCCCACUGACGUCAGGCUGAGGCUGGGGCCACCUCAGCCGUGCUCGGGGCUCUGCAGAGUUCAAAGCCCCAAGUAUUCAGCCAUGGGGUCUCCUUCCAGCCACAGCUGGCGAUGUGCAGAGAUGCAUGGAGACGCAGGGACAGCGAGCAGUCCCAUGGGGACCUGGGCUAGGUGCUGUCCCAGGAUCCUCCUGGCAGCUCCUUACAGAGUCUGUUUGCUGGGCCUGCGCUGGGACUGGGGUGGGUGGACCAGUGCCCCCCACGUUCCCCAGGCAGUCACGUUCACCUGGAACCUGACUGAGCGCGUGACCUUAUGUGGAAAAAGCGUCUUUGCAGAUGUGAUGAGUGACCUGAGAAGAGAUCAUCCUGGGAACAGGGUGGGCCCUAAACCUGGCGGCAGGUGCAUUUAGAGGAGAAGAUGACACAGAGAAGGCCACCUGCAGAAGAGACAGACAGGCAUGGCGCUCCCAGGACCACCUGGAGCCCCGGGAGCCAUCAGGGCAGGAAGGACCCUCCUCAGAGCCCCGGGGGGAGCACAGCCCGUGUGGAUUUCGGGUUCCUGGCCUCUGGAGCUGGGGGAAUAAAAUUCUAUGUUUUCAGCCUC